GUUGCGGCCAUUGAAACGGUAAAACAUCCGGAUGAACUUAAGGUAGAAGAAUUAGUAGGUGCACUUCAAACGUAUGAGAUGACUUUUCCUUCUAAUUCGUCUUCUUCUAAGUCUUCUUCUAAAGCUUCAGGGAUGGCUCUAAAAUCAACAAAAGGAGAUGACACUACAACUUCAUCGGACUCGGAGUCGGAGCAAACCUUGGAGGAGUUUGAAAAGCAACUAGAACUUCUAACGA
rnacentral:lncRNA from 1 species